GUGGACUUUCCUCUCAGAAGCACUGCCAUUGCAUGAUCCAGCAAUGUACUUUGGCUGAACAACACUUUGGCAUCAAUCUCCUGUAUGUUGGACCCUCUCCUGCUUUUUUCUAACAUGAAAUGUUUCCUUUUGGGAAGCUCUCUGAGAAUCACAUGCCCUGCAACCUCCACUAUAUUCCCUGGUAGCCGGUACAUGGCACAGUGUAAUAGAAGGAAUCCCAACAAUAGAGAAGCUUCAGAAAAUGUUGGAUUUCAGCUUCGUGAAACCCAGAGAUGGCACAGAGGGUGAGCACUCCGCUCAGUCAGACCUUUGCCACAGAUGCGGUUUGGUAUCACAGGCUAUCUGCAUCAUGAUAAGCGUACUGUAAAGGAUAAUAAACCUACGCGUUUGGCUUGACA
rnacentral:lncRNA from 1 species